rnacentral:rRNA from 1 species
CUCUGGACUGCGUACGAGUGUGAUCCUGAGCUCACGAUGGGCAGCUUGGUCCCUGAUGUAUAGCGGCGGACGGGUGAGUAACACGUGGGUAACCUGCCUGUAAGACUGGGAUAACUCCGGGAAACCGGGGCUAAUACCGGAUGGUUGUUUGAACCGCAUGGUUCAGACAUAAAAGGUGGCUUCGGCUACCACUUACAGAUGGACCCGCGGCGCAUUAGCUAGUUGGUGAGGUAACGGCUCACCAAGGCGACGAUGCGUAGCCGACCUGAGAGGGUGAUCGGCCACACUGGGACUGAGACACGGCCCAGACUCCUACGGGAGGCAGCAGUAGGGAAUCUUCCGCAAUGGACGAAAGUCUGACGGAGCAACGCCGCGUGAGUGAUGAAGGUUUUCGGAUCGUAAAGCUCUGUUGUUAGGGAAGAACAAGUGCCGUUCAAAUAGGGCGGCACCUUGACGGUACCUAACCAGAAAGCCACGGCUAACUACGUGCCAGCAGCCGCGGUAAUACGUAGGUGGCAAGCGUUGUCCGGAAUUAUUGGGCGUAAGGGGCUCGCAGGCGGUUUCUUAAGUCUGAUG